UACGUAGGGGGCGAGCGUUGUCCGGAUUUAUUGGGCGUAAAGAGCUCGUAGGCGGUUCGGUAAGUCGGAUGUGAAAUCUCCACGCUCAACGUGGAGGGGCCAUUCGAUACUGCCGUGACUCGAGUCCGGUAGGGGAGUGUGGAAUUCCCGGUGUAGCGGUGAAAUGCGCAGAGAUCGGGAGGAACACCCGUAGCGAAGGCGGCACUCUGGGCCGGUACUGACGCUGAGGAGCGAAAGCGUGGGUAGCGAACAGG
rnacentral:rRNA from 1 species